rnacentral:rRNA from 1 species
UAAUUUUUAUGGAGAGUUUGAUCCUGGCUCAGGAUGAACGCUGGCGGCGUGCCUAAUACAUGCAAGUCGAGCGAACGGACGAGAAGCUUGCUUCUCUGAUGUUAGCGGCGGACGGGUGAGUAACACGUGGAUAACCUACCUAUAAGACUGGGAUAACUUCGGGAAACCGGAGCUAAUACCGGAUAAUAUUUUGAACCGCAUGGUUCAAAAGUGAAAGACGGUCUUGCUGUCACUUAUAGAUGGAUCCGCGCUGCAUUAGCUAGUUGGUAAGGUAACGGCUUACCAAGGCAACGAUGCAUAGCCGACCUGAGAGGGUGAUCGGCCACACUGGAACUGAGACACGGUCCAGACUCCUACGGGAGGCAGCAGUAGAGAUCUUCCGCAAUGGGCGAAAGCCUGACGGAGCAACGCCGCGUGAGUGAUGAAGGUCUUCGGAUCGUAAAACUCUGUUAUUAGGGAAGAACAUAUGUGUAAGUAACUGUGCACAUCUUGACGGUACCUAAUCAGAAAGCCACGGCUAACUACGUGCCAGCAGCCGCGGUAAUACGUAGGUGGCAAGCGUUAUCCGGAAUUAUUGGGCGUAAAGCGCGCGUAGGCGGUUUUUUAAGUCUGAUGUGAAAGCCCACGGCUCAACCGUGGAGGGUCAUUGGAAACUGGAAAACUUGAGUGCAGAAGAGGAAAGUGGAAUUCCAUGUGUAGCGGUGAAAUGCGCAGAGAUAUGGAGGAACACCAGUGGCGAAGGCGACUUUCUGGUCUGUAACUGACGCUGAUGUGCGAAAGCGUGGGGAUCAAACAGGAUUAGAUACCCUGGUAGUCCACGCCGUAAACGAUGAGUGCUAAGUGUUAGGGGGUUUCCGCCCCUUAGUGCUGCAGCUAACGCAUUAAGCACUCCGCCUGGGGAGUACGACCGCAAGGUUGAAACUCAAAGGAAUUGACGGGGACCCGCACAAGCGGUGGAGCAUGUGGUUUAAUUCGAAGCAACGCGAAGAACCUUACCAAAUCUUGACAUCCUUUGACAACUCUAGAGAUAGAGCCUUCCCCUUCGGGGGACAAAGUGACAGGUGGUGCAUGGUUGUCGUCAGCUCGUGUCGUGAGAUGUUGGGUUAAGUCCCGCAACGAGCGCAACCCUUAAGCUUAGUUGCCAUCAUUAAGUUGGGCACUCUAAGUUGACUGCCGGUGACAAACCGGAGGAAGGUGGGGAUGACGUCAAAUCAUCAUGCCCCUUAUGAUUUGGGCUACACACGUGCUACAAUGGACAAUACAAAGGGCAGCGAAACCGCGAGGUCAAGCAAAUCCCAUAAAGUUGUUCUCAGUUCGGAUUGUAGUCUGCAACUCGACUACAUGAAGCUGGAAUCGCUAGUAAUCGUAGAUCAGCAUGCUACGGUGAAUACGUUCCCGGGUCUUGUACACACCGCCCGUCACACCACGAGAGUUUGUAACACCCGAAGCCGGUGGAGUAACCUUUUAGGAGCUAGCCGUCGAAGGUGGGACAAAUGAUUGGGGUGAAGUCGUAACAAGGUAGCCGUAUCGGAAGGUGCGGCUGGAUCACCUCCUUUCUAAG